CUUCAACGAACCCAGGUACAGCGGCUCGGCACGCCCCUGGCCGUAGGUGGCCAGCAGCGCCUGGGCUUC
rnacentral:antisense_RNA from 1 species